AUACACCAGGUUAAAAUGGCGGCUGCGGGCGGCGGUGGAAACCCGCAAACCGGUCCAGGAUUGAACCGCUUGAGCUGGAGUAAAGGGGCCUUGGUGGUAGCAGCCCGGGACAGCCCGGAUCCUUACCGCUCCGGUAUCUGCUACGCUCUCCUUUACCUGGUGGUGUCGGCCCGUAUGGGGCUUUGCCGAGACUGCGACAAGACGCCGUGUAUCUACGGGAGAUGUGUGAAUGGGAGCUGCGUCUGUGACCAAGGAUGGGUCGGCGAACAGUGUCAGCACUGCGGGGGUAGAUUCAAAUUAACUGAACCAUCAGGAUAUUUAACGGACGGACCAAUAAAUUAUAAAUAUAAAACUAAAUGCACAUGGUUAAUUGAAGGAUAUCCAAAUGCUGUAUUAAGGUUACGAUUUAACCAUUUUGCUACAGAAUGUAGCUGGGACCAUAUGUAUGUAUAUGAUGGUGAUUCAAUAUAUGCACCUUUGAUAGCUGUGUUCAGUGGUCUGAUAGUUCCAGAGGUGCAUGGGAAUGAGACUGUACCUGAAGUAGUUACCACAUCUGGUUAUGCAUUGCUGCACUUUUUUAGUGAUGCUGCUUAUAACUUAACUGGAUUUAAUAUUUUUUAUUCGAUUAAUUCCUGUCCAAACAAUUGCUCAGGCCAUGGAAAGUGCGUGACUGGAAAUAGCGGCAGGGUAUUCUGUGAAUGUGAUGAGUAUUGGAAAGGGGAAGCUUGUGACAUUCCAUAUUGUAAGGACAACUGUGGAAGCCCAGAUCAUGGCUACUGUGACCUAACUGGAGAGAAACUCUGUGUCUGCAAUGACAGCUGGCAAGGACCAGAUUGUUCUUUGACAGUUCCAUCAAUGGAAUCCUACUGGGUACUGCCAAGCAUUAAACCCUUUAGUCCCAGCGUGAGCCGUGCAUCUCACAAGGCUGUUGUAUAUGGAAAGUUUAUGUGGGUGAUUGGUGGAUAUACUUUCAAUCAUAGUUCAUCACAGAUGAUUCUUAAAUACGAUUUGGAGAGCAAUGGAUGGGCAGGUGUACCCAUAGUAAGUGUUGCACGACCAUCUUCAAGAUAUGGGCAUUCCUUAGUAUUAUAUCAGGAUGAUAUUUACAUGUAUGGAGGAAAAAUUGAUACUGAUAAUGGAAAUAUCACAAAUGAACUGUGGAUCUUCAACAUCCCAACUCUGUCAUGGACCAGGAAAAUUCCAAACAUUCUCUCUCCUGGGCAACAAUAUGAUGUGGAAGGACACUCUGCACACCUCAUUGAAAUGGACAGUGGAGAUGUUAUCAUGUUUAUCAUUUUUGGAUAUUCUGCACUUUACGGUUACAUAAACAGUGUUCAGGAGUACAAUAUUAAAACCAACAUGUGGUUAAUGCCAGAGUCCAAAGGUGCAAUCGUCCAGGGUGGAUACGGGCACAGCAGUGUUUACAAUGCAAUGACAAAAUCAAUUUAUGUGCAUGGAGGAUACAAAGCAUUUACAAACAAUAAGUAUGGUUUGGUGGAUGAUGUCUACAAGUACACAAUAACUAGCCGUACUUGGACAAUCCUUAAAGAAAGUGGAUUUGCUCGUUAUCUACAUUCAGCGGUCAUCAUCAGUGGGGCUAUGCUCAUUUUUGGCGGGAACACCCAUAAUGACACGUCUCUGAGCAAUGGAGCAAAAUGUUUCUCUGCUGAUUUCCUAGCAUAUGAUAUUGCCUGUGAUGAAUGGGCAAUACUUCCAAAACCCAAUUUGCAUCGUGACCUCAAUAGAUUUGGACACUCAGCAGUUGUAAGCAAUGGAUCAAUGUAUGUGUUUGGCGGUUUCUCCAGUAUCCUUUUGAAUGAUGUCCUCGUUUACAAACCUUCAAGCUGUGAAGCCUUCAGUGAAGAUCUUUGUUUGAAUGCUGGUCCAGGUAUUAGGUGUUUGUGGCACAAGCAUCAUUGUGUUCCAUGGGAAAUGGGCCAAAGUAAUAGUAGCUUCCAUGAGGUGAAAUGUUCCCUCAAAACCGCGGCCACAGAUGACGGAUGUUUCAAAUAUACAGACUGUGGCAGCUGCACAGCCAAUAUGAAUGGGUGUCAGUGGUGUGAGGAUAAGAAAUGCAUUUCUGUAACCAGCAACUGCUCUGUGUCUGUAAGAAACAAUACAAAAUGUCGUGUACAGAAUAUGCACGUUUGUAGCAAAUUUACAAGUUGCAAGACCUGUUCCAUGAAGCUGAACUGUCAGUGGGAUGAGCGGAACCAAGAAUGUCAAGCUCUGCCAGCCCAUCUUUGUGGAGAAGGUUGGAGUCAUGUUGGAGAUGUCUGCCUCCGGAUCAACACAAGUCGAGAAAAUUAUGAUAAUGCAAAACUUUAUUGCUACAAUCUGAGUGGCAAUCUUGCCUCUCUUACCACGUCGAAAGAAGUUGAAUUUGUUCUAGAUGAGCUACACAAAUAUACAGUUCAGAAAAUAUCACCUUGGGUUGGAUUGCGCAAAAUUAACAUCUCCUACUGGGGCUGGGAAGAUAUGUCACCUUUUACAAACACAACUCUGCAGUGGCUCCCUGGUGAACCCAAUGACUCUGGUUUCUGUGCAUAUCUAGUAAGAGCUGAAAUUGUUGGAUUGAAGGCUUAUGCGUGCACUGAAAUGGCAAGUGGUCUAGUUUGUGAAAAACCAGUUGUCAGUCCAAAUCAAAAAGCCAGACCCUGCAAGACACCUUGUUCCCUCCGAACAACUUGUUCGAACUGCACAAGCCAGAAUGUGGAAUGUAUGUGGUGCAGCAGUGCUAAGCGUUGUGUGGAUUCAAAUACAUAUGUAAUUUCUUUUCCAUAUGGACAGUGCAUGGAGUGGCAAACUGUGAACUGUCUUUCUCAAAAUUGUUCUGGACUUCGUACAUGUCAACAGUGUUUGGAACAUCCUGGUUGUGGUUGGUGUAAUGAUCCUGCAAAUACAGGGAAAGGACAAUGUGUAGAAGGCUCUUCAAGAGGACCAAUGAAAUCUGCUGGCAAGAAGGUCCAAGAAAUGAUACUUGAUAUGGAUCUUUGCCCAAAAGACAAAAACAAUGAAUGGGCUUUUAUUCAAUGCCCAGCUUGUCAAUGUAAUGGUCACAGCACAUGUAUCAACGGCAGUAUUUGUGAACAAUGUAAGAAUCUGACUGUUGGAAAGCAAUGUGAAGCUUGCAUGCAGGGAUACUACGGAGAUCCAAUUAAUGGUGGCAGAUGUCAAUCUUGUAAAUGCAAUGGACAUGCAAAUGCUUGUCAUGCCCAAACUGGACAGUGCUUCUGUACAACAAAAGGAAUCAAAGGAGAUCAGUGCCAGUUGUGUGAAUCGGAUAACCGCUACCUUGGUAACCCACUCAAAGGAACCUGCUACUACAGUCUUCUGAUUGAUUAUCAGUUUACCUUUAGCCUCACCCAGGAUGAUGACCGCCAUUAUACAGCUAUCAACUUUAUGGCUACUCCAGAGCAGACAAAUAAAGAUCUUGACUUAUCCAUCAAUGCAUCAAACAAUUUCAAUUUAAAUGUCACUUGGUCUAUUGGCUCAACAGCUGGAACAAUAUCUGGAGAGGAAGUGCCUAUAAUCUCAAAAACAAACAUUAAAGAGUACAGAGAUGGCUUUUCUUAUGAGAAGUUUAAUUUUCGCAACAAUCCAAAUAUCACAUUCUACGUAUAUGUUAGCAACUUUAGUUGGCCCAUCAAAAUACAGAUUUCCUUUUCACAACACAGUAGCUUUAUGGAUCUCGUCCAAUUCUUUGUCACGUUUUUCAGCUGUUUCCUGUCAUUACUCUUGGUGGCUGCUGUUGUGUGGAAAAUCAAACAAACUUGCUGGGCUUCGCGAAGGAGAGAGGUGGAGGUCUAGCAGAAUGAAAAUUGCAUCGAAGUGCAUGCUGAGAACAGCCUGAAGUCUUCAAAUGAAAACCUUAAUGAAGACACUAAAAGCAGAAAUAUAAACUGUGUGAAUUAAUUUAGUCAUGUAUUUGUGAAUUGUGUAAUUUUUUUCAAAAUUCUUAUUCAAACUCUGGCUCAUUAGAAAUUUCAGCCAGAGAAAAUACUGCAGGUAAUUUAUUGUCAGCAUUAAAUAGUCAGUUUGCAUGUAGCCUGACAUUGUGAAUGCUGAAGAAACUUUCAAGAGUGAAGGAGUUUUCAAUGAAAUGUGUCCUAUAUGUCUGAUAAUGGCCCAAUGUCUGCAGUCAGUAAUGAAAGUGGGAUACCAUCCGCCAGCCUCACUGUGAAGUCUCUAAUAAGAAAUUUCACUCCGCCCCUAAUUGCGUUAUGACAAUAACAUUCAUUGCUUGGGAUUACCAACUAGACUGCAGUGAUGUGAUCAAGUUCUUCAAGCAGCCAAUAGCAUUGAAGCAUUUUCACAGCUACCCAACCAGGAGACGAAAUCCACAGCUUUUCCCAUGUGAACACAGGAGAGUUUGGACCAACAAACAAAGUGAUGAUGCAUAAUGCAAAUAACCCAUCUCUGUAUCAGUUUUAGAAAGAAUUCUGUUAUUUUGUUAAAAAUAUAUUUAAUUUUUUUGCUUGGAUUAACUCAUAAGAAACUGUUAAUUUGACAAAAAAUCACCAGUUUCCAUUGUUGCAUUUGGAGCAGGUAAUCAAAUUUUUGAAGUGCAUUUACACUCUACCUGCAAAAUCAGAUUUUCUGAAUCUGGUUGAACUUGCCCCAUGAGGUAUUAUGAUUUCCCUCUUUACAUUGGAACAUUGCUAAUGUACAGAGGAGAAACUUACAUUGCAUUACAGCCAAUUAAGUAUUUUGAAGUGUAGUCAUUAUAGAAAAUCACACAACUAAUUUAUGCACAGACAUUCUCAGGGACAAUCCUGUUAUUGAUUAAUGAAAUAUGAUUAAUGGAUUUUAAUGUGGGUGGCGGGGGCCCUGUCUUUGAUAAUGACAUUUAAUUUUAUUGUCACCAACUAGAUCCCCAAAGGAAUAAAGUUCCUAAUUAGUAACAGGAAUUCUACUGCAGGCUCUUCUCUUGCCAGAAUCAUUAAAGCAUUGCUCUGCUGGGGAAUGAAUAUUCUGUCCCAACAUUUGCAGGUUUCUCAGAGGCCAGAAGAGCUAUAGUACAGUAGUUUUACUGCACGCAGUGAUGACCAGCUGUAUGCACCAAGUUUAUCUGGGCAGUUAGCAUUGCCUCCUCCAGUGACAGAUAACUGGGGUGGGAUGGGGCUUGCAAGAAGGGAUGCAUCAGACAGUGGCAAUGAGUGAAGUGGACAACAAGAGCAAAGACUUUCUUGCUGCAUGCUUAUUCUUACUAAUGCUCCAGUUCCCUUGGUGGGAUAUAGAAUGCCUUUGAACUUGGACUGUUCCUCGUAGUGCAGUGAAAAACCCAACAGCAGGUGCUCCAGCACCCAAAUGAUCAUUUCUUCCUUGAAUAGUACUUGUGGAUCUUUCACCUGAGAAUACAGACAGGGUUUUAGUUUGAUGUAUUUACUAAAAGAUAAUAAGUCUUAUUCUAAAGCACUGACUCAUCAUUGGACUGAAACACGAGCCUAGAUAAUGCACUCAAAGCAGAAAAGAUAUUUUUGAAACAAUUGACAUUUUCAUCUUUUCCCAUGCUUACAAAAUCUCCAUGUAAUUGUAGGUUAUUUGUACAACACAACCAUAAUGAUCUUACUGCCAUCUUUAUCUAGAUAUUUAUAAUUUAUACUUGUGUGUCCUUUUUGAAAAUCUCACAUUUUGCAACAUGUAUUGAAGAACUCUACACAUGUGCUGCAUUUACAAAGAUAAUGUAAAAACCAUGUGACAAAUAUAUCAUUUGUGUUUGAAAUAGAUGAAACUGUUAGGACAGUCAAAGUAUCAAUAAAUAGGAGACAUACUGUUAGCCAAGUCAAGUAUAUUGUCUAAAGAAAUGCAUACAACACUUUCCCAAAUAAGAUUAGCAAACUGAGCACGAACCAAAACUUGAAACUUAGGUUUUCUAGUGUUGUAUCAUUUACUCAUGAAACCAACCUUACCAUAUUCCAUAUAGAUUCUGUAUAAAUCUAAGUGGUACAUUUUACUGUAUUGAAGGCAUUUACCCUAGUCUGUAAGCUUGUAUAGAUCCUGGAAUGUAUAUAUAUAUCAUUGUCUCCAGUACCAGUCUCCUCCAGUUUUCCAAUGUUUCAAGUCAUUUUGAAACCAUCUGUUCCAGCCCAUGAUGUGUCAUUUUCUUCCUGUAAUGUUGAGACAUUUCACAAACUUAAUGUCUUGUGGUCAGUGUGGCUAGUAAUAUACUUCAGCAAAAGGUGUCACAGGCAUGUUCACACAAUACAAAAUUAAUAGGCUAAACGGAACAAAAUUACAAGCUACAAGAAGUGCAAAACUGUUAACAUACAGAAAACAGUUGCUGAAAAAUAAUUAUUCCAGUUUAAAAAAAAUCCCAACAUAGUGAAAAUCUCCAUUUGGUGAAAUCUUAUUGUUUACAUGAGGCAGAAGAAGGGGAAACCUCCAUAUUUUAAAACAGUUUUCCUGUAGAAAUACAGGGUCGAAUAUUAAUGUCAAAACUGUGGGGGGGGAAAAAAAACGCGUAUUCUUUUAUUCUGGGAAACAUUUGUUUUGCAGAGACCAAUAAUGGUAGAACUGAGAAGGAUGUUCUCAAAUAAUGAUUCAUAUCAGUUGUGUUGUUAAAAAGAAGCGUGAGACAGCAAUAAUAACCUCGGAGCAGCUUCAGAGAAUGCUGCAUGCCAAAAACAAGGCACAAGUAAUCUGGAGAAUGCUGUGUGCAAAAAAUAAGCCAAAAGAAUUCUGUGCUAAGUAAUGUAAGGAUAAAGAUUCAACAAAAAUAGUAAACAUCAAUGCCUGAAAUUCUUAUGGAUUGUAUGUAACUGUAUAGAUAUAACUAAUGUGAGUCUUCCCACCAUGCUGCUACAAUUGACUUUGUUUAUCUUUGCCUGUUUGGAGCAGUUGUCUAACCUGCAGAGCAUGAAGUGAAGAGGUUGUCAUUUAUUAAAGUGGACAUAAAUGUUACGCGAAAGGAGGGCCCUUCAUAUAAAUUAAGGGGCCAACAAGUCAGAAGGAUCCUAUCAUCAUAGUUUUUACUGACAACGGGAAACUACAUACAGAUUUUUGAAUCUAGAGCAGCAACUCAUGAGGGAAAGACAGCAGAUGGCUAGUCGUCCUUUUGCAUCUGUUGAUGUUGCCCUGCAAGUUGGAGCUGAACAGCUGGAUAUUGUGAGAGGACCGCCAGAG